ensembl:lncRNA
AAAUGUAAAUUUGAAUUAUUCACUUACUAUAUAUACCCAUGAAGUUAUCUAUUUAAUGUUUUCUCUUGACUUUACUCUGAAUUUUUUUCAGAACUUAAUAAACAGGUGGAGGAGAACAGAAAACAACAAGGUGAAUUUAUCUUCAUUAGGUUAUUGUUUAACUAGUAAUUUAAUUGUAAUUUUUUUUUUUUUUUUGCCAUUUUCAAAUUGAGUAUAUUUAUUCAGUUAUUUAUUUUAUAUUUGUUGUAAUUAUUUCUCCCCUAUAAUAGUUGCAUGUUUAUAAAAUGUGACCCUGGACCACAAAACCAGUCUUAAGUGUCAAUUUUUCGAAAUUGAGAUUUAUACAUAAUCUGAAAGCUGAAUAAAUAGUCUUUCCAUCGAUGUAUGGUUUGUUAGGAUAUAGAAAAAUACUUGGUUGAGAUACAACUAUUUGAAAAUCUGGAAUCUGAGGGUGCAAAAAAAAUCUUAAUAUUGAGAAAAUUGCCUUUAAAGUUCAAAUGAAGUCCUUAGCAAUGCAUAUAACUAAUCAAAAAUGAAGUAUUGAUAUAUUUAUGGUAGGAAAUUUACAAAAUAUCCUAAUGAUUUUUGGCAUGAAAUAAAAAUCGAUUUUUUUUGACCCAUACAAUGUAUUGUUGGCUAUUGCUAGAAAUAUACUCAUGCUACUUAUGACUAGUUUGGUGCUCCAGGGUCACAAAUGCACAUUUGAAUUAUUUAUUCAGUGACCAUAUGUAGCUCUGUUUUAAUAUUAUUUUCUCUUUCCUUUAUCCUGAAUUUUCUUCAGAAAACAAUGCACUUUUAAAGAAUGAGAACCAGAAAAUAAAACAAGAACGUGAUGAACUACAGAAGGAGAAGGACAGAAUUCAACAAGGUGAAUUUAUCUUUAUUAGGUUAUUGUUUCAAGUCAAGUCAAGUCAAGGUGAGCUUUAUUGUCAUUCUGCCACAUGUGUGGACAUACAGUGGAACGAAAUGUUGUGCCUCACAGGACCACGGUGCUACAUAAAUACAGGCAGGGGCGUAGCUAUCUUUUCAGAAGUGAGGUGGACAGAAACUAUAUAUAUAUAUAUAUAUAUAUAUAUAUAUAUAUAUAACAUUACAAUAUAACAUUUCUGCAAUCUAUAUAGCCUACCAGUCAACAGUUUUUGAACAGCGAGAUUUAUAAUGUUUUUAAAAAUGUAUCUGCAUUUAUUUGAUCCAAAGUACAGCAAAAGCAGUAAUACUGUGAAAUAUUUUUACUAUUUAAAAUAACUGUUUUCUAUUGGAAUAUAUUUUAAAAUGUCAUUUAUUUCUGUGAUCAAAGCUGAAUCAGCACCAUUACUCCAGUCUUCAGUGUCACAUCCUUCAGAAAUCAUUCUAAUUUGCUGAUUAUCAAUAUUUAAAACAGAUGAGUAAUUUUUUUUUCAUUAUUCUUUGAUGAAUAGAAUGAUCCAAAGAUCAACAUUUAUGUGAAAUAAAAUGUUUUUGCAACAUUAUACA